CGCCUCUCGCAUUACAUGUAUGAGAGGUAUCGCCUGCCCAGUGACUAUACGUUCAACGGCCGCGGUAUUCUGACCGUGCAAAGGUAGCGCAAUCAUUUGUCUUUUAAAUAAAGACUAGUAUGAACGGCUCCACGAGGGAUCAACUGUCUCCCAUGUCCAAUCAGUGAAAUUGAUUUUCCAGUGCAGAAGCUGGGAUAUUAACAUAAGACGAGAAGACCCCAUGGAGCUUAAGACAUAAGAGCACCUACAACUACUAACCACCCAAAAAGGCACAUCACACAAAAUAGAUUUGACUCCAUGUCUUAGGUUGGGGCGACCACGGAGAAAAAUAAACCUCCGAGCCGAAUGGGGCACUAAUAUCCACCUUAACCAAGAGCUACAAUUCUAAGUAAUAGAACCUCUAACGGAAUCUGAUCCAAA
rnacentral:rRNA from 1 species